rnacentral:piRNA from 1 species
UAAGCAGAUGUACUGCGUGUUCAACCGCAA